rnacentral:lncRNA from 1 species
GGGCCGUAACUAGGGUUCGAAUUCAGGGGAGGCAGGGGUUUGGGGCCGCCGAUUGAGCCCCCUUUGAUAGGGUGUAGGGGGCGCAGCCCUCCGCCGAUUUUUUUUCUCUAGAAGUCAUUGGCUAAAAAUUACCCGCUUCCCUUCGAUUUCCUUACUUUAAGAAACAUCAGUAUUGCUUGAACCUGGAAGCAACUUUUAUGCAAAAACAAGCUGAGAUUACUGUUCGGGUGAGCCAAGGCUAGCUCCGUCUUGAAGGCUGUACUUUUACCUAUAAUUGUUAACAUUAAAUAUAUUGUGACCGUAGAUUUUUUCUCAAAUGAUAUGGCUAAAAUUACCCGUUUUCCUUCGAUUUCCUUACUUUAAGAAAGAUCAGUUUUGCUGGAUCCUUUGAGCAAUUUUCAUGCAAACAAUUAUUAUCUGUAUUUUCUGUAUUUAAAGAUAUUU